rnacentral:rRNA from 1 species
CCCAGACUCCUACGGGAGGCAGCAGUGGGGAAUAUUGCACAAUGGGGGGAACCCUGAUGCAGCGACGCCGCGUGGGUGAAGGAGCACCUCGGUGCGUAAAGCCCUCUCGGCAGGGGAGAAAAGCAAACAGGUUCGCCUGGACGGUACCUGACUAAGAAGCCCCGGCUAACUACGUGCCAGCAGCCGCGGGAAUACGUAGGGGGCAAGCGUUAUCCGGAUUCACUGGGUGUAAAGGGAGCGUAGACGGCGACGCAAGUCUGGAGUGAAAGCCCGGGGCCCAACCCCGGGACUGCCCUUGGAACUGUGCGGCUAGAGUGCGGGAGGGGCAGGCGGAAUUCCUGGUGUAGCGGUGAAAUGCGUAAAUAUUAGGAGGAACACCAGUGGCGAAGGCGGCCUGCUGGGCUUUAACUGACGCUGAGGCUCGAAAGCGUGGGUAGCAAACAGGAUUAGAUACCCCAGUA